rnacentral:rRNA from 1 species
AUGCUACCUGGAUCCGCCCUUCUUUUAUCGAGGACAAAAGGAAUCGACAUGGACAUCAUGUGGUGUAUUGUUGACGCCUUUGCUCAACAAAACAAGCACGCCCAAUUUUCAGUUGGCCCCGACAUUCUCCCUACAACUUUGAAUUCAUUGUUACGGGUGAAAAGGCGUAGGAGCGUGCGCCGGAAGCCUCUGCAAAAGCUGCUGUCCAUGAAGAGUUCAGGGACUGAAGGUGUGAAUUGCAGCAUCACCGAUAGUUCACUGCAGAAAGGAGCAGAUGUCAGCGGCAGGACACGAUGCCCUGAAAUCGAUACAAGCUUUUGUUCUCCUCCAUGUGAACUUGACUUACACCGUGUUUGCCCGACGGAUGGCUUCAAUCUCCUUCUUGUCCUACACCAUAUUGAUCCUAUUUCUGUAGCCAAUGGACAGAGCAUCUUGGCUUUACUCACACUUUUAUCAAUGGUGGGUGAUUGCAGCAAGGCCGCAGUUAACACACAACACUACCGCAUUAGGAAGAGUAGACACAACAAGGGCUGCAGGGUGCUAUCGAGGCAAUGCUCGGCUCAGAAGACUCGAGAUCAUAAACGGGGUGACACAAGGGAUGCUGCAUUUCAGAAGAAUCGACGUCUCACCUCCAGAUCUGAACCUAUGUCUGCGGACAACUCGAGCUUACUGACUCCUGACAGUACACCUGAGCGAGCCUGGCGUGUUGCAUCUGCUGCCCCGCAACAUAUGACAGGAUACCUCAAUCAUUUUACCGACUACACGGCAGUCUCCGGCGAUCAGGUUAUCGACACGCCCAGUAUGGGGCCUAUGGUCUUCCAUGGCAGCGGUUCAGUGAACAACAAGAACAUGACCCUGAGAGAUGUUCUGUAUGUCCCAGGGCUUGAGGCCAACCUCGUCUCCACUGGCCAGCUCGCCGAGCUUGGCUACACCAUAUCCAUUGGUCCUUACGGGUGUCGCGUCUACAAGGACGACGAGGGCAUGGAUCUUGUUGGAAAAGCGCAUUACGUCGAUGGCUAUCUACUGGAGCUGGAUUUCCUCAGGGUUUAG